AUUUAGUAAUCAGGUUCAGUAUUGACUGAUGAAGGAAAGCUGAUGUAAUCAGAGGUGAGUUCCUUGGAAAAAGGAAAGUCAGAGGAUAGCGGAUUGAUUGAGAAGAGUGUGGAGACCCAGCAGGAAGAAGAGGAGGUGAGUUCCUUGCAAAAAGGAAAGUCAGAGGAUAGUGAUUUGGGUGAGAAAAGUGUGCCAACCCCACGUGAGAAUGAGGAGGAAAGGUUCUCAGAGAAAGUAAACUCAGGGGAUAGUGGAUCAUAUGAGUGGGGAUCGAUGCACACAGAUGAAGUAGAGGAACCCACGGUGACAUCUUUCUGAGGCCCAAAAAAGAUGCCAGAAGACAUGGAUGUCACAGUUCCAGUGGAUGACCAGGACAUCCAACUGCCACGUCUGGACAGAUGUUCAAAGUUUUUAUGGUUUCAUCAUUUCAAGUUUGUGUUGGGGGGGGGUACCCUUAAAGGCUUAGUCACAAAAAAAGUUCAAAACACCCUUCAAGGAAACAAAGUUCUUUAUGUUUUUGCUAAAUAAGACUUUUUUUAUGACGCAUUUGUUAAUAUCUGUGUUCUAAAUGUCAAAUAAAAUAAAGAUAUUUCAG
ensembl:lncRNA